UGUAGGAAAUCUACAUUUAUUUCAUAGAAAUCCAAUAACUUGUAAAAAACGUUUUAAAACACUGUAAAUAAUGUUCAGAGAGUAACAAACCAGAACACAAAUGUAUUUAUUGUUCUUAUUUCUAAGAAAUGUAAUACAUUGAAAUAUAAAUAAAGGAUACAUUAAGAAAUUGGUCUAGAAUUCAAAACAUCAGAAAAUGUAUAGAACCUGCCAGGAACAUUGAGGACCAGUGUAACCAGAGGUUUAACGCUAAGUCACAACACUGAUUAAUUACCAAUCAUUUUAAAAGGAAAAAAGGGAUUUGCAGCAUUGAUCACAAUCGAUACACAAUCUUUAACCACUUGCCAAUACGCAUGACAUAUAUUAUCCAGUCAACAAUAAUCCUAGAGAUCAACCAAAGUCAUUUUCUGUGCAAUCUGUAUGUUCACAUCCUUGCAUAUACAUUAGUUGUUGGUGAGGUGACAACUGCUUGAGUUAUUUUUUUAUUUAAUUCAAUCUGUUUCCCAUUUAUUAUUCUGAAUGAAGUAGAGGUUCUUGGAAGUGGAUGUUCCCUUACCGGGGUAACACUGUCUAGUUUUAUAGUGUUUGGUGAAGUGGCCACUAUACCCUGAUCUGGGGUCAGUUUUGCAUUUCCUCCACAAAAGACAGGCUUCACCCCAGCCCUAGCUACACAGACAGGCUCCACCCUAGCCCUAGUUACACAGACAGGCUCCACCCCAGCCCUAGCUACACAGACAGGCUCCACCCCAGCCCUAGCUACACAGACAGGCUCCACCCCAGCCCUAGUUACACGGCCAGUCUCCAUCCCAGCCCUAGCUACACAGACAGGCUCCACCCCAGCCCUAGCUACACUGACAGGCUCCACCCCAGCCCUAGCUACACUGACAGGCUCCACCCCAGCCCUAGCUACACUGACAGGCUCCACCCCAGCCCUAGCUACACUGAACGGCUCCACCCCAGCCCUAGCUACACAGACAGGCUCCACCCCAGCCCUAGUUACACAGACAGGCUCCACCCCAGCCCUAGCUACACAGACAGGCUCCACCCCAGCCCUAGUUACACAGACAGGCUCAACCCCAGCCCUAGCUACACAGAUAGGCUCCACCCCACCGCCUUCACAAUCCACAGUCCUCCUCUCUGAUCUGCUUUUUCUGCCCUUGACACUGGCCUGUCUGGGGUGCGUGACUACAGACAAUGC
ensembl:lncRNA